rnacentral:rRNA from 1 species
AUUGAACGCUGGCGGCAUGCUUUACACAUGCAAGUCGAACGGUAACAGGCCGCAAGGUGCUGACGAGUGGCGAACGGGUGCGUAAUGCAUCGGAACGUGCCCAGUCGUGGGGGAUAACUACUCGAAAGAGUAGCUAAUACCGCAUACGAUCUAUGGAUGAAAGCGGGGGACCGUAAGGCCUCGCGCGAUUGGAGCGGCCGAUGUCAGAUUAGGUAGUUGGUGGGGUAAAGGCUCACCAAGCCAACGAUCUGUAGCUGGUCUGAGAGGACGACCAGCCACACUGGGACUGAGACACGGCCCAGACUCCUACGGGAGGCAGCAGUGGGGAAUUUUGGACAAUGGGCGCAAGCCUGAUCCAGCAAUGCCGCGUGCAGGAAGAAGGCCUUCGGGUUGUAAACUGCUUUUGUACGGAACGAAACGGCUCUGGUUAAUACCCGGGGCUAAUGACGGUACCGGAAGAAUAAGCACCGGCUAACUACGUG